rnacentral:rRNA from 1 species
AUUGAACGCUGGCGGCAUGCCUUACACAUGCAAGUCGAACGGCAGCACGGGAGCAAUCCUGGUGGCGAGUGGCGAACGGGUGAGUAACAUAUCGGAACGUGCCCAGUCGUGGGGGAUAACGCAGCGAAAGCUGUGCUAAUACCGCAUACGAUCUAUGGAUGAAAGCGGGGGAUCGCAGGACCUCGCGCGAUUGGAGCGGCCGAUAUCAGAUUAGCUAGUUGGUGAGGUAAAGGCUCACCAAGGCGACGAUCUGUAGCUGGUCUGAGAGGACGACCAGCCACACUGGAACUGAGACACGGUCCAGACUCCUACGGGAGGCAGCAGUGGGGAAUUUUGGACAAUGGGCGCAAGCCUGAUCCAGCAAUGCCGCGUGCAGGAUGAAGGCCUUCGGGUUGUAAACUGCUUUUGUACGGAACGAAACGGUCUUUCCUAAUGCGAGAGGCUAAUGACGGUACCGUAAGAAUAAGCACCGGCUAACUACGUGCCAGCAGCCGCAGUAA